rnacentral:rRNA from 1 species
GUGAGGAAUAUUGGUCAAUGGGCGAGAGCCUGAACCAGCCAAGUCGCGUGAGGGAAGAAUGGUCUAUGGCCUGUAAACCUCUUUUGUCAGGGAAGAAUAAGGAUGACGAGUCAUUCGAUGCCAGUACUUGACGAAUAAGCAUCGGCUAACUCCGUGCCAGCAGCCGCGGUAAUACGGGGGAUGCGAGCGUUAUCCGGAUUUAUUGGGUUUAAAGGGCGCGUAGGCGGGACGUCAAGUCAGCGGUAAAAGACUGCAGCUAAACUGUAGCACGCCGUUGAAACUGGCGCCCUGGAGACGAGACGAGGGAGGCGGAACAAGUGAAGUAGCGGUGAAAUGCAUAGAUAUCACUUGGAACCCCGAUAGCGAAGGCAGCUUCCCAGGCUCGGUCUGACGCUGAUGCGCGAGAGCGUGGGUAGCGAACAGGA